GACGUAGGGCGCGAGCGUUGUCCGGAUUUAUUGGGCGUAAAGAGCUCGUAGGCGGCUCGUUGCGUCGGCUGUGAAAACCCGGGGCUCAACUCCGGGCCUGCAGCCGAUACGGGCAGACUAGAGUUCGGCAGGGGAGACUGGAAUUCCUGGUGUAGCGGUGAAAUGCGCAGAUAUCAGGAGGAACACCGGUGGCGAAGGCGGGUCUCUGGGCCGAUACUGACGCUGAGGAGCGAAAGCGUGGGGAGCAAACAGG
rnacentral:rRNA from 1 species